AUUGAACGCUGGCGGCAGGCCUAACACAUGCAAGUCGAGCGAGUGGCGGACGUGAGAGUAAUAUCGGGGAAACUGCGUGAUGGGGGGGGAUCACUACUGGAAACUGUAGCUAACACCGCAUAACAUCAGAUAUGCCCAGAUGGGAUUAGCUUGUUGGUGGGGAAGUGGCUCACCAAGGCGACGAUCCCGAGCUGGUCUGAGAGGAUGACCAGCCACACUGGGACUGAGACACGGUCCAGACUCCUACGGGAGGCAGCAGUGGGGAAUAUUGCACAAUGGGCGCAAGCCUGAUGCAGCCAUGCCGCGUGUAUGAAGAAGGCCUUCGGGUUGUAAAGUACUUUCAGCGGGGAGGCGUUACCCGCAGAAGAAGCACCGGCUAACUCCGUGCCAGCAGCCGCGGUAAUUC
rnacentral:rRNA from 1 species